GGUCUUGCUGUCACUUAUAGAUGGAUCCGCGCUGCAUUAGCUAGUUGGUAAGGUAACGGCUUACCAAGGCAACGAUGCAUAGCCGACCUGAGAGGGUGAUCGGCCACACUGGAACUGAGACACGGUCCAGACUCCUACGGGAGGCAGCAGUAGGGAAUCUUCCGCAAUGGGCGAAAGCCUGACGGAGCAACGCCGCGUGAGUGAUGAAGGUCUUCGGAUCGUAAAACUCUGUUAUUAGGGAAGAACAUAUGUGUAAGUAACUGUGCACAUCUUGACGGUACCUAAUCAGAAAGCCACGGCUAACUACGUGCCAGCAGCCGCGGUAAUACGUAGGUGGCAAGCGUUAUCCGGAAUUAUUGGGCGUAAAGCGCGCGUAGGCGGUUUUUUAAGUCUGAUGUGAAAGCCCACGGCUCAACCGUGGAGGGUCAUUGGAAACUGGAAAACUUGAGUGCAGAAGAGGAAAGUGGAAUUCCAUGUGUAGCGGUGAAAUGCGCAGAGAUAUGGAGGAACACCAGUGGCGAAGGCGACUUUCUGGUCUGUAACUGACGCUGAUGUGCGAAAGCGUGGGGAUCAAACAGGAUUAGAUACCCUGGUAGUCCACGCCGUAAACGAUGAGUGCUAAGUGUUAGGGGGUUUCCGCCCCUUAGUGCUGCAGCUAACGCAUUAAGCACUCCGCCUGGGGAGUACGACCGCAAGGUUGAAACUCAAAGGAAUUGACGGGGACCCGCACAAGCGGUGGAGCAUGUGGUUUAAUUCGAAGCAACGCGAAGAACCUUACCAAAUCUUGACAUCCUUUGACAACUCUAGAGAUAGAGCCUUCCCCUUCGGGGGACAAAGUGACAGGUGGUGCAUGGUUGUCGUCAGCUCGUGUCGUGAGAUGUUGGGUUAAGUCCCGCAACGAGCGCAACCCUUAAGCUUAGUUGCCAUCAUUAAGUUGGGCACUCUAAGUUGACUGCCGGUGACAAACCGGAGGAAGGUGGGGAUGACGUCAAAUCAUCAUGCCCCUUAUGAUUUGGGCUACACACGUGCUACAAUGGACAAUACAAAGGGCAGCGAAACCGCGAGGUCAAGCAAAUCCCAUAAAGUUGUUCUCAGUUCGGAUUGUAGUCUGCAACUCGACUACAUGAAGCUGGAAUCGCUAGUAAUCGUAGAUCAGCAUGCUACGGUGAAUACGUUCCCGGGUCUUGUACACACCGCCCGUCACACCACGAGAGUUUGUAACACCCGAAGCCGGUGGAGUAACCUUUUAGGAGCUAGCCGUCGAAGGUGGGACAAAUGAUUGGGGUGAAGUCGUAACAAGGUAGCCGUAUCGGAAGGUGCGGCUGGAUCACCUCCUUU
rnacentral:rRNA from 1 species